rnacentral:rRNA from 1 species
UUCCGGUUGAUCCCGCCGGAGGCUACCGCUAUUGGAGUUCGAUUAAGCCAUGCGAGUCUAGAGGCUUCGGCCUCGGCGUACCGCUCAGUAACACGUGGGUAACCUGCCCUAUGCUGGGGAAUAACCUCGGGAAACUGAGAAUAAUGCCCCAUAGCCCACUACGCCUGGAACGGUGAGUGGGUCAAAGCUCCGGCGGCAUAGGAUGGGCCUGCGCCGUAUCAGGUUGUAGGGGGUGUAAAGUACCCUCUAGCCAUCAACGCGUACGGGUGUUGGGAGACAUUGCCCGGAGAUGGAUUCUGAGACACGAAUCCAGACCCUACGGGGUGCAGCAGGCGCGAAAACUUGGCAAUGCGAGCAAUCGUGACCAGGGAACUCCAAGUGCGUAGGGUAAGACCUACGCUUUUCUUGACUCUUCAAAGGUCUUGGAAUAAGGGGUGGGUAAGGACGGUGCCAGCCGCCGCGGUAAUACCGGCGCCUCAAGUGGUAGUCGCUUUUAUUGGGCCUAAAACGUCCGUAGCCGGUCUGGUGCAUUCGUGGGUAAAUCAACCCGCUCAACGGGUUGAAUUCUGCGAGCACGGCCAGACUUGGGACCGGGAGAGGUGUGGGGUACUCUCAGGGUAGGGGUAAAAUCCUGUCAUCCUGAGAGGACCACCUGUUGCGAAGGCGCCACACUAGAACGGAUCCGACGGUCAGGGACGAAACCUAGGGGCACGAACCGGAUUAGAUACCCGGGUAGUCCUAGGUGUAAACGCUGUGGACUUGAUGUUGGGGGCGCUCCGAGCGCUUUCAGUGUCGAAGCGAAGGUGAUAAGUCCACUGCCUGGGGAGUACGGUCGCAAGGCUGAAACUUAAAGGAAUUGGCGGGGGAGCACUGCAACCUGAGGAUUGUGCGGUUUAAUUGGAUUCAACGCCGGG